rnacentral:rRNA from 1 species
GACGGUGUUGAUAGCGAUGAGGAUCCACCUGUACCCAUACUGAACACAGAAGUUAAGCUCACUGGCGCCGACAAUAUUCGGCCAGGGACGGCCUGGGAAGAAUGGAGAAUGGGGAAGGCGCCUUAU